GGCCCCCAGGACCUCCCUCCCUGCUUCCCCGUUCCCUGGGCUGCUACUUCCGUUUCCAGGCUCACUGCAGGAGGAGAGCUGGCAGCUCAGCGCGGGCGUUCACCUGAAUUUGCAGUUGUGUCUGCGGCCAGGGGAAGGCCUGGGUACCCCCUCCCCCCCCCGACACCACUCGUUGCCAUGGCUGCUGGGCGCCUCAGGCACAUGGUGGGCGGUGGAAAGCCAUCCCUGGUCUCCUGUCAGCGCCGUCCCCUGGGAGCUGGGAACGCAGCCAGAGCUGCCCCAUGCGCGCGCUCUGCCCGGAGCCUCUCGCGCACGGGCAGCUGGCAGCACUCAACACGGUCUCCCCAGUGCUGUCUGCUCGGGGCCGCAUGGGAUGAGCUCUGGGCUUCGUGGGCCAUAGCUGGAGCCAGGGGGAUUUGCUCCCACAGAAAUGGACACUGGAAAAGCUGUUCCAAGUUACGGACGUUUCAGGUUAACGAGGCCCGCGGCAGAGGACCGUUCCUUGGGAAAGCGCCAUUUGCUGCCUAGCACUAACCCAGAGCGCUGGAGGUCUCCAACGCACAGGAGAGCGGAGGCGAAGUGAGGGAACCUGCGGGGAAGGUGAGACGGAACAGCGCUUGGCGGUAAGGCAUCCGCCAGCCAGAGACUGACGGGCAGUGACCCCAAAGGGCAAGCGUCGCUGUCUCUCAAUAAAGCGCUCACGGGCCACUGCAAAGACCACUUCAGGGCAAGGCCUCCACCAGACCAUAGGUGAGCGAUGGGAAGGAAGAGCAAGGCACGCAGGCUACACAGGAAGGGGUCUGCACAAAAACCCAAGGCCAGGCAACGCUGGAAGAGCCUGAGCAACUCGUGAGCACACCGAGCGGCUUUGCUGACUCUGACCAAGAACAAACAUACUCAGACAUGAAGAGACACGGUGGCCAGAGAGCCAGGGAAACGUGCCACCCCAGAGGGGAGAGAACUGGCUUCCUUCAGGGACAAAACCCAUCAUGCUUGGGAAGUUCCACCCUCCUCCUCCAGGAGCGAGACUCCUGCAAGCCGAGCUGUUCAGAGAGGCAGAAUGCCCAGGUAAGUCAUCUUCCUUUGUUCUUCCUCCACCUUGCUAAGGCGGGUCGGAGAUGCAGCCCUUGUUUCCAUCCUGUGUGUGUUCCGGCAUACGCUGGCUCUCCAGCUGCAUCCGGCCACCUUUCUCAACUGUGCUGUGCCGAGAAAUUAAACCAAUCCAGACUCUGGCAAGAGUCCUGAGUUAAUUACUGAUUUGCUUCCAAACAGGGGAUGAGACAUCGCUCAGCCUGGUACAGAAGCUUCUGGGCCAGACGACUUCUUGGGAUUCACGUUCUGUAGCAAGCGUCCUCUUCUCGGCCAUUCUCUGCAAAUCGAGCUCUUCAUUUCAGAACAGAGGCGGCAGGGGAAAUAGAUCCAAUAUCUAGUUUGUUUGUGAAGUCUGUUGCGGUGGACCAUGGAGUCUGGCGUGGGGGAUGGUGGGAUGGAGGCUUCUGAACACCCCUUCCCUGCAGAAGAAGGAACAUCGAAGCACAACAAAUCUGGUGGGAUCAACAAGACCUCUGCUUCUUCCUUCUGCCUACUCCACAUCAGGGUCCGAAUGAAGAAGCAACAACUCUGUCCUUAGAAGAGCAAGAUCUCUUCAUGAGUGCUGAGAAGAGUCUCGUUCCAAGCUUUGCUCCCACAAGCCAAAGAAGAGGACGUUGGCAGCUGGAAGAAGGAAACCAGAGGUUAUUGGAUUGGCUCUGUCUUUCAUCUGGACAGCUACCUAAGACCCCUCCAUAUGUUGCAAUUUCGGUCCCUUUAUAUCUAUUUAAUAAUUUCACACAUCCUGGUUUUAUAGAUGGACAGCCCCUCAGAGGAACAGUACAUUGGAAAUUCUUUCCUUCUCACUUCUCAUUUAAACACCUGUUUUCUGUGCUCAGCAGUUUUGAAAAUCAGACUGGUUAUUCGGGUGCCUAAAUAUGGAUUUAAGACCCAUAUUUUAGGCCUUACUUUUGAAAAUCUUGGCCAUAACCUGUCCAAAAUAUUCUCAAAGCAGAACUCUCGGUGCUAUGCAAAGCAUGAGAAAUAAGCAGAACUUUAUUUUACAUGUUCAAUAAUCAAAGUUUUAAAUUUGCAGUCUGGUUUCUGCAAGUGUGGUAAGUGUAUGUGCAUAAUAAACUGGCAUGUAAGUGAUCGAAUCCAUAAUUGUAUGCAUCGUAUUUGCUUUGUACAUGAAAAAUGAGACCGUAUAUCAAAGCACAGCAGAAAUAGCUGGGUACAAUGUGUUCUCCUCUGUGCAGUAAUCCUUUAUAUGUGUAUGUACAAUAAAUGGCCAGUUCUUUCUCCCAUGACUUUAACAUGGUUAUAAACUAUUUUUUACCAUCCAGUGAAAAGUGUUUCCUCCUGACAAACGGCUCCUGCAAAGUGCUGGGACGUCUGCCGUCACUCUAAUGGGAACUGGCUGGAAUCUUCAUUCCAGACUUUACAAACUAGCCCAAACGGGGAAGGGGAAACACGCCGCACCCGCAUGCCACCGCGCAAGAGCUGUCGAUUCUGUGUUCGCCAUCGAUAAAUAGAUUGCAAGGCCAGAAAAGGCCAUUAUGAUCAUCUUGUCUGAGCUGCUGCAUAACGCAUCCCCCAGACCCUGACGCAGGAAUUUCUGCAUUCAGCCCAGACCUUCUCGUGCGGCCGGAGCACUGUUAGAAAGACACUGUCUUGAGUUAGACACGUGAUGGAGAAUCUAUCACAGCCCUUGGUGAUUCCAGUGAUUAAUUGCCCUCAUUUUAUUUCUAGUCUGAAAUUGUCUAGCUUCUGCUCCCAGCCACUGGGCCUUGUGCCCUUUUCUUCCUAAUUGAACAGCCCUUUACCCAUGCAGGUGCUCGUAGACUUUGAUCCACUUGACCUUUCCUUGGAUAAACUAACUAGACUGAGCAAAACCCACAAGGAGAUG